rnacentral:rRNA from 1 species
UACGUAGGCAGCAAGCGUUGUUCGGAAUUACUGGGCGUAAAGGGUGUGUAGGCGGUUGUUUAAGUUUGGUGUGAAAUCUCCCGCUCAACCGGGAGGGUGCGCCGAAUACUGAAUAACUAGAGUGCGGGAGAGGAAAGUGGAAUUCCUGGUGUAGCGGUGAAAUGCGUAGAUAUCAGGAGGAACACCGGUGGUGUAGACGGCUUUCUGGACCGUAACUGACGCUGAGACACGAAAGCGUGGGUAGCAAACAGG